UAUAUAUUAUAUAUUGCAGGUACAACCGCAAAUAUUAAUAAAAUAAAAACCAUAGUACACAAUGACACAUAUGCAAUUUUGAAUUCAUCCAGUUGUAUUCAAAUCUACAUUAGCAGUUGAUUAUAAUAAGAAACC